AGCGAACGCUGGCGGCAGGCCUAACACAUGCAAGUCGAGCGAGGCUUCGAGCCGAGCGGCGGACGGGUGAGUAAUACAUGGAAAUCUACCCAGAAGUGGGAAUAACGUUUGGAAACAGACGCUAAUACCGCAUAAUCCAUAUUGGGAAAGCUUUUGCGCUUUUGGAUGGGUCCAUGGCUGAUUAGCUUGUUGGUGAGGUAAAGGCUCACCAAGGCGACGAUCAGUAGCUGGUCUGAGAGGAUGGCCAGCCACACUGGAACUGAGACACGGUCCAG
rnacentral:rRNA from 1 species